GCGAAUGGAUUAAGAGCUUGCUCUUAUGAAGUUAGCGGCGGACGGGUGAGUAACACGUGGGUAACCUACCCAUAAGACUGGGAUAACUCCGGGAAACCGGGGCUAAUACCGGAUAAUAUUUUGAACUGCAUAGUUCGAAAUUGAAAGGCGGCUUCGGCUGUCACUUAUGGAUGGACCCGCGUCGCAUUAGCUAGUUGGUGAGGUAACGGCUCACCAAGGCAACGAUGCGUAGCCGACCUGAGAGGGUGAUCGGCCACACUGGGACUGAGACACGGCCCAGACUCCUACGGGAGGCAGCAGUAGGGAAUCUUCCGCAAUGGACGAAAGUCUGACGGAGCAACGCCGCGUGAGUGAUGAAGGCUUUCGGGUCGUAAAACUCUGUUGUUAGGGAAGAACAAGUGCUAGUUGAAUAAGCUGGCACCUUGACGGUACCUAACCAGAAAGCCACGGCUAACUACGUGCCAGCAGCCGCGGUAAUACGUAGGUGGCAAGCGUUAUCCGGAAUUAUUGGGCGUAAAGCGCGCGCAGGUGGUUUCUUAAGUCUGAUGUGAAAGCCCACGGCUCAACCGUGGAGGGUCAUUGGAAACUGGGAGACUUGAGUGCANAAGAGGAAAGUGGAAUUCCAUGUGUAGCGGUGAAAUGCGUAGAGAUAUGGAGGAACACCAGUGGCGAAGGCGACUUUCUGGUCUGUAACUGACACUG
rnacentral:rRNA from 1 species